rnacentral:rRNA from 1 species
UACAGAGGGGGCAAGCGUUAUUCGGAAUUAUUGGGCGUAAAGGGCGCGUAGGCGGCCUGACAAGUGGAAGGUGAAAUCCCUCGGCUUAACCGAGGAACUGCCCUCCAAACUGUUUGGCUUGAGACCGGGAGAGGUGAGUGGAAUUCCCAGUGUAGCGGUGAAAUGCGCAGAUAUCAGGAGGAACACCGGUGGCGAAGGCGGGUCUCUGGGCAGUAACUGACGCUGAGGAGCGAAAGCGUGGGUAGCGAACAGG